GUGCCAGCCGCGCGGUAAUACCGGCAGCCCGAGUGAUGGCCGCUCUUUUUGGGCCUAAAGCGUCCGUAACUGGCCGCGCAAGUCCAUCGGGAAAUCCACCCGCCCAACGGGUGGCCGUCCGGUGGAAACUACACGGCUUGGGACCGGAAGGCGCGACUGGUACGUCCAGGGUAGGAGUGAAAUCCCGUAAUCCUGGACGGACCGCCGAUGGCGAAAGCACGUCGCGAGAACGGAUCCGACAGUGAGGGACGAAAGCUAGGGUCUCGAACCGGAUUAGAAACCCCAGUAGUCC
rnacentral:rRNA from 1 species